AACCCAUUACUUGUUUCAUUUUAUUUUGUUUUCCAUCAAUAAUUUUGUUACAUAAAAACCGUAAUAGUGUAAAACUUGGAACAGUUUUAUGUUUUUAUGGAACAAUUAAUACUCGAAAAAAUAAUUUUUAUAAAAUAACAAAACUCUUGUAUCGACUCCAAAAGUUACAGUGUAAUCCCGAACUUUCUUCAACCUUUUCCGCUGCUUUCCACUGAAAAUGCAUAAUCCUUUUGCAGUUGAGUUCUCUUGAUUCUCUCCAUACCUAACAUUUCUCUUCGUUCGUCUAUUUAUCAUGCGUCAAACCCACAUUUGAUGUUUUUUUUUUAAUCUUGCCCUUCCAAAACUGAUGUGUGUAAUUUGAUCUAACUUUUGAAUAAAGCAAUAUUUUUCUUAGAGUUACUGAUCGUUGAAGAAUUCAUUUGUAUGCUUCUGUUGAUCACAUAUAAAUCUAGGGAAUCAAGUGUGUUUCUAAGUUGGGUAAUGAAAGUUUUAACCAACUAUUGUGUUUUUGAGAGUGUACUUCGUGUGAGAGAGAACACCAGAAUGAGAAUGUAUGGGACAGAUAGUGACGGUGUAGAGUGGUUGUGAAAGAGAGUUUCUGAACUGGAAGAAUAACCCCUAUAAAUGAGAAAGUUCAAUAAGGUUUUGGAGGCAAUCUUUUGUCUGAGUGUUGAGAAACAUACAAGAAAAAAUCCAGAAACUCAUUGAAUCCCCUCGAGCCAUUCGGUUUAUACUAUAUAAUAUAUAUUUGCUACAAUUAAUUUGGUUUUGUUCCUACUAGGGAGAUGAGACCUAGAGAACUAUUGAAGUCUUCUUCUCCUUCCUUCGGUCGGGCAGGUGACUGGGUGAUGAACUGUGGUUCUUCUCGUCCUCUUGCUUAUCCUUCGGUACUCGGCACUCGGUCAUCGGACGAAUCACCGGAUGGUGGGUACCUGCGAAGGCACUCCGACGCUCAAGUCAGUAAAGCGGGUGGUCAGCUCAGUAAUAAAUGACAUACCUUACUCCUUGGAAUGCGCGCUAUUUAUAUUAUUCUAAUGGGCCUACCUUGUUGGGCCCGCUUAUCGAGGUGGAUACCGCUUAGGGUUGCAUUACCUAAUUCUUGAUGAUGGAUUAAGUUCACUGAUCUUGGUUUGAGCGUUAGCUGUAGUAGGGGUCGGCCGUCGGCCAAGUUCCCAUGGUGUGGGUCGGCCAUCGGCCAAAUUCCACUGGUCUUGGUCGAGUCUUAUAAGGUCUUGGCCAAGUCUUCUAAGGUCUCGGCCUCUCGGCCUUUCGACCAAGUCUUCUAAGGUCUCGGUCUCUCAGCCUCUCGGCCAAGUCUUCUAAGGUCUCGGUCUCUCGACCUUUCGGCCAAGUCUUCUAAGGUCUCGGUCUCUCGGCCUCUCGGCCAAGUCUUCUAAUGUUUCAGCCAAGCUCCCCUGGUCUCGGUCAUGUGGACUCGGCCACGGGCAGCCAGGUGGACCUCGGCCUCGCCCAUACCGGUACAGGUUUAUUCAAGGAUGUUAUGUUAACUCGUCAGACAUUCUCAAUGAUUCAAGGAGUGAGCACUAAAUCUUGUUACCUGGUAGAAAGUGAAGAAUUUUUGCAUAAAAAUGACCCAUGAACCUUUUGCUUACUUUGAUUCUUUUUUUUUUCUUUGAUUGUCAGGUUGCGAAGCGCUUAGAGAAGUUCCAGAGAUCUAAGGAAGCAUUGAUCAGCCAGAAAGAUGGAAUCAUAAACCUUGGACGAGGCUUUCCCAACUUUGAUGGUCCAGAGUUUAUAAAGGAAGCAGCAAUUCAAGCAAUAAGGGAUGGGAAAAAUCAGUAUGCACAAGGCUUUGGAGUUCCGGAGUUAAACAUUGCUAUUGCUGAUAGAUUUAGGAAAGAAACUGGAUUAGUGGUAGACCCUGAUAAUAAAGUUACUGUCACAAAUGGGUGCUUAGAAGCAAUUUCUGCAACUGUUUUAGGAUUAAUAAAUCCUGGUGAUGAGGUUAUCCUGUUUUCUCCUUUAUAUGAUUGUUAUGAAGGCAAUUUAGCCAUGGCUGGUGCAAAAAUAAUAAGCAUCCCUUUGCAACCUCCAGACUUUGCUAUCCCGAUUGAAAAGUUGAAGUUAACCGUGUCAAGGAGUACACGUGCCAUUGUUAUAAAUACUCCUCACAACCCUACGGGAAAGAUGUUCUCUCUAGAGGAACUCAAUGACAUUGCAUCCCUUUGCAUUGAGAAUGAUGUUCUAGUUUUUGCUGAUGAAGUUUAUCAUAAGUUGACAUUUGAUAUGGAGCACAUUUCAAUAGCUUCUUUGCCUGGAAUGUUUGAAAGGACCGUGACAAUGAACUCAUUGGCAAAGACAUUUAGCUUAACAGGAUGGAAGAUUGGUUGGGCCGUAGCACCCUCACACCUGACAUGGGGACUGCGACUGGCACAUUCUUUCAUCACUUUCUCAAACGCCACUCCUUUGCAGUGUGCAGCUGCAGUAGCUCUUAGAGCGCCAGACUCUUACUAUGUGGAGCUGAAGAGGGAUUAUAUGGCAAAGAGGGCUAUUUUGGUGGAAGGAUUAAAGGCCGUUGGCUUUAAGGUAUUCCCACCCAACGGAACAUUCUUUGUUUUAGCUGAUCAUACCCCUUUUGGAUUGGAAAAUGAUGUUGCAUUUUGUGAAUAUCUGCUUAAGGAGGUGGGGGUGCUGGCAAUCCCUUGCAGUGUGUUUAGCUUCAAUCCAGAAGAGGGAAAGAAUCUAGUCAGAUUUGUUUUCUGCAAGGAUGAUGAAACUCUUAGGGUCGCGGUUGAGAGGAUGAAGGAGAAACUUAGAAAAUGAUCUCAAUGCUUGAUCAAGUCCUCUAUAUAUUGGAUUUUCAACCAUAUCUAGCCAUUGCCAACAUCUUGUUUGCAUGUUCUUCUUCCCAAGAUUCAUGAUCUUUUUAUGUGUUGAGUUUUUAAUUCUGGGGACUGUGGAGUGGAAAAUAGAACUUUACACCUCCUAAUGUCCCAAGUUUCUUAUAUUACCAAACAAAUGUUUGGUUAAUAAUGUGUUUACUGUGUCAAGGUAUCAUGGUCCAAUGUGGGAAUAAAAGCAAAGUUUGAAUCUCUAUAUAUUUGGUGUCUGCCUUGGUUAUAAAUGAUUGAUAGGUUGACACUCUAAAUAUAAAAAACAUUCAUUAACAGCGGGUGGUGAAUUGUUGACACUUAAUUAAUGAAAAAUAUUCACUUAACACUACAAAACUAAGUAACAUUUACAUGACAACUUAUUAUAAUAAUAUUUUAUAUUAAAUAUAGAUAGAUGAAUGUCUUUCACUAUUUAAUGUCGAACUGUCACCAUCCUUUAUAAAACCAUUGUCUCAAAUUAUAUACUAAAAGUAAUUUAGAAAAAAAAAGUAUUCCUUCAUCUAAUAGAGUACUUAUACUUUAAAAAAAUAAAACUUAAUCUUUGUUUGGAUAUGACGUACUCUUACGUGGAAUGGAUUAGAGUGAUUUGAAUGAAAAUUUUGGGUUUGGAUUGAGUUGAUUUUGAAUGAUAGAUUUGAAGGAAGAUUUCUUUGUUGAAUGGGUGAGAAAGGAUGAAAAAGUCAAAUUCACAUGUUACUUGCAAAAACUGAUAUCGCCUUAAUAGAAUAAUGGUUUGGUCAAUUUCUUCUAUUAUUAUUAUAAGUUAUGUGUUAAUGCAUAGUUGAUUAUGUGAAAUAGACAUCAUAUGUAAUAGAUUAAGUCAAAUAAUAUAAUCAAUUAAAUGUGUUUUUUUACUGGGAUGUUGUCUAUUAACAUAAAGGUUCACACAAGUUCCUCUGUGUCAAAAUGUACCCAAAUUCCUCUCUCUUACAAUAAAAAAACAGCUUAUUAUGGAUUUCAAACUCGAUCAAAAUAAAUGAGUGUGUUUAUUACUUUUCAUUGUUCUACUUCUAUUUAUAUGAACUUCAAAAAAAUUAUUACUAUAUUUUUUGGUUUACAGUAUUAAUUCACAUUAUUUAAACCAAUAUUAUUAUAUUUUAAAAUAUAAAUUAUCACUAUAAUAAAGGUAACUUUGUCUUUACCAAAAAAUUAUAAUUUUUCUCUUUUCUUUUUUCUCAAGCAAAUAUUUCACUGUAUUUUUUCUCUUUUCAUUUUAAUUCAUUUAAUCUAAAUAAUAUUACUUUUCAUUUAAUUUUUUUUCUUUCCUUUUUAUUCUUAUUUUAAAUUUGAAGUUUUAUUUGUAGAAAAUAUUUUAAAUUUGGAAGUUUAUCCAAAAAAAAUUAUCACAUGGACAACGACUUUAAAAUAGAUGUUUUUUAAAUUUGUUAUUUCUUUUUUAUCGAAGUAAAGAAGCCCAAAAGUGGAAAAUAACUUUCUUAAGACUUUGUAAGACGUUUAGUUAUACACUGAUUUUUAUUUAUGAAAUAUUCAUAAAAUUAUAUUUUAAACUACAAAGAAAAUUUAAUAAUCCUAACAUACAUUUUUUUAAACUACCAAAUACAAUAUUUUUUUCACUGGAGCUAAAAAAAAACAAAAUGCACUUAUAGAAUUCUGUUUUUAGUUAAAAUGUGAUUGCAAAAUUUUAGAAACUUUAUUAUUUUAGUGAAAAAAAUUAGUAGUCAAAUAUUUUGAAAACCAAAUUAUAAAAUAUUUACUUUUUAUAUUUAAAUAUUAAAAAUAGUGAUUGAACUUAUACUUUCAGUCUAUAUUUUAUUUUAAUGUAGUUAGUGUUUAAAAUAAUUUUAUGUAAUCCUUGAAAAAUUAUUUAUAAAUUAAAAGAGAUCUAUGUUACUUAACUUUUUCAUAAAAAAAAUUGUCUAACUCAUGAUACAUGUUACAGUGAGCGUGUGAGUGAGAGAGGGAGAGAUAUAUUAUAGCAGUAAAGAGUGUUAAUUACUAUUUAACACAUAUACAUUACAUCCGUAUUUAUACAUAGGAUUGAUAUACAAAUGGUUACAUUUAUAUUCCCUUAACAUCCCUUUCAUAUACUAAUUAUAUUUAUUUUAAUUUUUUAAUUGAUACUUCACGUCAAUUAUUAGAAAAUAAUAACAUUUUAUAAUAUAAAUGAUAUCAAUUUUAACAUAUAAUCAAUUUAUAUAUCUAUUAAAAAUAAAAAUAUUUUAUAAUAUAUAAAUAAUUACAAAUCUUAUAUUAUAAAUUAAUUUUAUAAAAUUGAGUUAAAUUUAAAAUUUAUAUUUUAAUAUUUUCAUUUUCUUUUUCUUCUUUGAUACUGUGACAACAUUGACACCAUUUAAUCAUUUAGAUCCUAAAGUCCUCAAUCUAUAUCUCAUUGGUUUACUCAAAUAUUCUCACCACAAAUGCCAAUAUCUUUUCGAAUCUGCUCACGACCAUGAUUUUUUUUUUUUAAUUUGGUCAUAAACUAAACGACCAUGAUUUUUUUUUUUUAAUUUGGUCAUAAGCUAAACAAACACUCUAUUGCAAACAAAGUUUGUGAUGACGUAAACAUGGUUUUCAUUUUAAUUUAAGAAUUCUAGAUAGCGUAUAACAUUGUCUUUGAAUUACCAAAUACUAUCCAUAGAUGAUUUAAAAAAAAAAAUAUGUUGUAGUUUCAAAAUUACCAAAUGCUCUUACAGAUAUUAAGCGAACUAGAAUUCAGUUUUUUUUAACUAAAAAGUAGUUGCACAAAUUUUAGAAGGUUUAUUUUUACUUAGAGUAUUAGCUGUAAUAUUAAAAAUCAAUUUUCAGAAUUUUUUUUACAGCUGUGCAGAGGUUUGUAUAAAUAAAUUACCAAAAUACUAAUAAUUAUUCUUAAAAUCUAAGCUUAGUGAGAAAAUAUUAAUAUUAAAAUAUUUUCAGAAUCACUUUUUGAAAAUAUUUUUUUGUAUUGUGCUUAUACUGUCAGUAUAUGAUAUUUUUAUUUUGACAUAAUUAAUACUUCAUUCUAUUUUAUAAAAUUAUUGAAGUAUUAUUUAUAAAUUAAAAAAUAUCUGUGUUAACCACUUGGACUUGCCCGUAAAAGUGUAUUACUCAAAAUAAGUUUGUAUUUUUUUUAUAUAGCCAAAGUAGUUUGUUUAGGAAAAGAACAAAUAAUUAUUUUUUCGUUUAAGGCAACACGUUUUUCUUAUUUAAAUAAUUUUAUAAUAAGAUUAAUAGGAUAGAAAAAUCUGAAAUUCUUUUUCUAACAAAUUAUAGCUUUGUAUUUUAUUUUUUUUAGAAUUUUUUUUAAUGUUUCUUUUUAUAAACAUGCCUUUUUAUAUUUUCUUACAUUUAAAAAAAAUUACAACUUCUUAAAUAUUUUAUUUUCUUUUACAUAUAAUGUAAAACAAUCUAAUGUAAUGAAACAUGCAUUUUAAAACUUUCAAAUUUACUGGUAUAUAUUAUUUUAUUAUAAUUUCAAAAAGUAUUUCUUAAAAUAUUAUUUUAACUAUUAUGACUGUAAAAUAUUGAUUCAGUAAAAAUAAGUAUAAUUUUUAAAAUAACUAUCAUACAAAUUUAUUUAUUUAGCAUUGAUGAAAAAUAUGAUAUUGAAAAUAAAGUAAAAAAAUAAUAAUUUAAAGUAAUUAUUUUGAUAACGUAAGAGAUAAAAUAUUUUAAUAAAAUUUAUUUUUUAAUUUUUCACUCAUUAAGAUGUGUUUAUGAUAUUAAACAAUGUACAAAUAUACUCCUUGUCUUUGAGACUUAUAGAUAAAAGAUGGAAUGAGAUAAUUAACUUAUGAGAGUGGUUCAAUUUUAUUGUUUGAUUAUCAAUAAUACGGAUGAAUAAAAAAAUAUAAAUGGAUAAGUUGUAUUUGGAAGUUCAAUUUAAAAAAUGAAGAAAUUCAAUUUUGGGUGAAACAUGUACAAAGUUACUAAAAAAAAAUCUGACACUAUUAGCUAUAAUUAUCUUUACUUCCAUCAUUUUAAUACUUUUUUUAUUAUAUAGAAGGAUGAGACACUAACCAGUUGAAUAAUUAUUUUCUCAUACGUUCUUUGUUUUUUCUUUUCUACACUCCCUAAUCUUAAGUUUCGGCUCAUGGUUGGAAGUGUACCCGCAAAAGGUACUUCAUGCUCAAGUAAGAGUUUGAUACUCGGUGCGUAAUGAAUGUUAUAUUAAUUGCGUAUCUUUGUUUUGUGAUGUAUUUAUUUAUACAAUUUGUCAUGAGCUAUAUUAUUAAUAGGCCACAUUUAAUAUUUAUAAUCAUACAAAUGGAAAUACAUGAUUUGUCGCAUAUUUCUUUUUACCUUGAAGUUUUUAUCCUUAGCCGAUCAGACGACCUUCGCUAUGGGGGUUACAAAUCCUGUAACCUUAAACAAUACAAAUACAAAUUCACCUUUGUAUAAUAAUCAUAGGACUAAGACUCUUAUAUAAGAAAUUGUAAAUUGUAAGUGAAAACUUGAGAGUUUGAGAAGUUGGACAAUUAUUUUAGUAAAUAAAACAUAGGUCAACAAUAGUAAAAAAUACUCUUCACAAAUUAAAUCUAAAAUUAAUUUGUUAUCAUAUAUAACAACUUUUUUUUCAUGUUGUACUACUGUAAUAUUUGGAGAUAUUGUAUCCUGAGUAACUUGGAUACACAUAAAAAAAAUUAUUGUAACUAAUUGAAUGGGAAGUAUUUAAUAACCAACUCAUCUUAAUCACCUCUAAAUACUUUAACUUAGACUCAAAGAAAUAUAAAUAGGAAAAUAAUUCUUUGAUACUAUCAACAGUGAAACACUUUCAUUUGACAACCUCAAAAAAUAAUAUAAUAAUAUUUUGUAUUAAAAAUAAACUAAAUAUAAUUAAAAUAUUAAUUUAAUGAAUUGUGAAAUGGGUGUAUUUAUUGCGAAGAGUGUCAAUGUAUCAACAUCCAUAUAAAUAUACAUUUGGUCUCACAUAUAUAUUUAAAUUGUCUUUGACUUCAACUCCUAAGUGAUGUAAGACUAUUCAGUGUACCAUAACAAAACCCCAAGACGAGGUCUAAGGGGAAUAAUGGUUCAUUUUUAGAAUCACCUUUUCAUUCUCACAGACGACGUCAAUGUUACAAACUUAAGUUUAUUGAGAUAAUAUCAUUAUGGGCAAUCACUGCAUCCGAGGUAUUGUCUACUUUAGAGCUCGAAACUCCGUCACAAUUUUUCCUUAAAAGUCAUCUCAAAUGGUUAAGGGAGGCAAGUGUUUUUAAAUUGUCCUUGACCUCAACUCCUAAGCAACGUGAGAAUAUUGAGUAUACAAGAAUAAACUCCUUCAGUCAAGGUCUAAGGAGAACGAGAGUUCGUCUUUUGAACCACUUAUCCAUUCACAAACGACACCAAUGUUUCGACAUCAAGUUUGUUGAGAUAACAUCAUCAGACAAUUAUUGGAUAUAUACUAAGUAGAGUCUGGUUGAGAAAAGCCCCAACUCUAGAUAAGGUCGCAAAGCUUCAACCUUUAAGAUGGUUGUAAAAACACAACCUUGGAAAUAGUAACGUAAACUAAACUCAAUGAACAUUAAAGUUCAUUCAUCCACCUAAUUAGUCUACAUGCACCUUAUUUAUGGAUUUCGAGAUUGGGUGGCUUGUGUACUACCUGACUUUUCAAUUUUCAAAGAUAUUUUACCCACCUCCAAGACUCGAAGAUACAUAACAAAUUUGGUUGUAAUUGAUCGAACGGAAAGUACUUAAUAAAUAACUCAUUUUAAUCAAUUUUAACCUAGAUCCAAAGGCCUAUAAAUAUACACUUGGUCUCAUAGGAAGUACUCACUUAACUCUCUUUACUCAUAUACUAAUAUUUUUAAAACUUCUCUAGCUCAUACUUUUGAACAUCAAAUAAUCUUUUUGUAGGUGGAUCUCCACUUGGUAUUUCUCAACAAGCUUGAUAACCAUUCUUAAGAGGAUUCAACUUGAUUUCUAGCUUGACUUCCUUGAAGCUUCCUCAAUCCAUCUUGGACAGUUCUCACUUAGUGUUUUUUUAUUUCAUAUUUAUCUAUUACAUGGAAACAUAAAAUUAAUUAAGGAUAAAUAUGUUAGGCACUUAACUCCAUUCUUCAUUUCUCUUCAAUUAUUGGAAUAGCCAAAAUAACAUUUGGUAUUUUUCAAGUUUAGACUUUUCUAAUCAAAAGAAUGUCACAUACAAACAAUCUUUUUAAUAAUAGAUUGAAUCAAGUGUAAACAAAUUCAAGCAAAAGUUGAAUUAUACAUUGUCAUAAAAAGGUGUUUUUUUCUUGCAUAAUACUUUUAAUAGUUAUGGUCUAAUUCAACAACAAUACUUCUAAUCCAAAGACAAGUUUAUACACUUCACAAUAGUAUGUCACAAAUUGAAGUUGUGCAAUUGAAGACGAGUUUGACUUUCAUUAAAGUCGUUCAACUGAAAACAAUUUUGGUUCAUUAAAGUCAUAUCAAGCAUGACAACUUUGUUCAACUUUUACUCAUUAAAAUCAUAUUAAAAAUUAAAAAUUUGAUUAAUUUUCUUCUCAUUAAAAAUGUGCUUAUGUGCACAAAUUUGAUUCGUCAAUUAAAGUCGUGUCAAUAUACAAAAAAUAAAGAGUAAAUAGUCGGUUUAUUACAAUAAAUAUUAACAUAUUUCAUUUUUAGUUCAUUAAGAAAAAAGAAGAAGAACAAUCUUAGUACAAAAUUUUAAUUUCAUUAGUUUGAUUUAAACUCUAUUAAUGAUUAAAGUAAUUAAGCAUGUGUUAGUCUUUAAUAAUUACCACAUGAGUUUAUCAUUCAAGGUUAAUUGCAUAUCAAUAUUAAUUUUAUCUUUAAUAAAUACGUGUAACAAUUACUAAAUAGCAAAUGUGUUCAAUUACUUAAAUCAUUAAUAAAGUUCAAACAAAACUAAUAAAAUUAAUUUUUUUUAUUAAAACUAUAUUUUAUAAACUAAAUAUAUCAAUUUGUAAAUAUUGUAGUGAAUCCAUUAUUUAGCAAAAAAUAAAAUAAGAAGUACAAUAUCUUUAAAAAAUUAAAAACAAAUAAAGAACAUGUGUUAAGCAUGACAUACGUACAUGUGUUUAAACCAAAUUUUGAUUAGUAACACAACUUCAUUUUAAUGUCAUAAUUUUAAGCACAAUUUACCUAUUUGUUUUUUUAAUUAUCCAUACUGAUAAUUUGGAAAGGAAAUUACAUUACUUUGAUAAUUUUUCGUGGAAUGAACAUGAUUAUUGUCUUUCAGAACUAAAAUAAUUGUGGUUUAAAUUUAACUUAAUAUUUUUUAUCCAACUUAUUUAAUUUGUAACUUAAAAAGAAUUAGACUAAAUUGACAUGUAAGUUUAUCAAUUAAUCAACAUUAUAAAAUAAUAUUUUUUUUAAAUACAUGCAUAUAUUACAAUUUAUUUAUAUUUUUAUAUUAAACCAUUAUAUUUUAAAUUAAAGUUAAUUUAUUAAUAGACUUAAAUUUUGAAAACAUAUUUUUUUUAUUUAGAAUUAUUUUCUUUUUAUAUUUAUUUCAAAAGAGUAAAAAACGACUUGUUAAAUUGACAUAAGAUCAUACUACUAAAAAAAUAUAAUUUAUUGUAAAAAGAGACUAAAAUAUUUUAAAUGACCAAUUAAAUUGGAUCAAGUCAAACCGAUUCCUUUAACAAGUCUAAUUUAUUGCGACUCUACGAAAUAGUUAAAUAAAAAUAAGAUAUAUGAUAAUAAACACUUUAUAAAAUUAGCAAUGAUAAAUUUAUUAUUAGAAAAUAUAAUAAAAUAUUUAAAUAUAAAUUAUUUUAAAAAUAAAAAAUAAUUAAUCAUUAUAUAACUAAAUUAAAUAUUAUUUUAUAAACUAAAUUUAUUAAUAUAUAAAAUAAUUUCUAUUACUAAUAAAAAUUUGGUGCAAUUAUCUCAAUAUUAAGAUUAAUAGUAAAUUUAGUUUGAUGGUUUUUAAAAAUAUUAAUUUUGUUCUAUGUUUUUUUAAAAAUAUAUAAUUUAAUCCUUUCUAUUAAGCUCAUAUAAAUGACAUUAAAUAGUAAUUAAAUAUCACAUAAUUAUAUGAUUAUUUUUUUCUUUAAAUUAUUAAUAUUUAACGGUAAUAAUAUUAUUUUACAAUAAGCUAUAUAUUUUCUAUUUUAACAAAAAUUUAAAAUAGUUAUUUAUAUUUUGUGUUGUUUAUGUUUACAUUUUUUACUUUAAUUCUUUAUUUUUUUUUCCAAUAUAUCAAAUUGAUAUUUCGUUAAUUUAUUAUAUAUUUUAGCUUAAUAUAAUGAAUUGUGAGAUACAUAAUGCUAAUUAAAAUUAUAUGAUUAAUAAAAAUAAUUUAAUUUAGAAGAGACAAUAAAACAAAGUAUUUUUCUGAAAUUAUAGAAUAAAACUUAAAAUAUAAUUAAUGACACCCCUAUUUUUUAUUUUUUUAAAUAUCUUUAUCUUUAACAGUGGCAGCCCGGGCAGCCGUGAGCACGAGGCAUAAAGUUUAGUAGAAAGAAUCAAAUUUGAGUCCAAUGCAGCAGGUCUAUGCUAACUCCCCAUAUAUACUCAUGAGAUUCACGCCUUCAUCCAAGUUCUUAGGCUUUUCAAAUCACUUCAAUAACCUUCUCGCACCCUCUUUUUCUCUAACCUCAAAGUUCCCAUCUUCCAUUGCCGCCACCAUGUCCACUGUUCCCACUCAGAACGACACCGUCACCCACAAAACGCAUCAGCCUCUGCAAGUUCGUUAUUUUCCCCCUUUCAGAUCUCUUUAUUAUGCAAGAAUAUUUUAAUGUUCUGUGUUAAAUUAGAUGUCUGAAUGUGAAUCGUAUUAUCUUUUUAUCUCAGCUUUUAAUUCUGCUGACUACCUGUUUCUUAGAAUUUACAUCAUGCAUGCUGCUGUGUUCUACACAUAUGGAAUGGGACCUUCACGCAUUAUAAAUCACCCCUGUUCUUACGUUUCCUUUGAUCUAUAGAGUUGCUAUGUUACCAAACAAAUUUAAGGGUUUUGGUAUAGUUGUCUUUUUGGGGCAAUAGAUGAAUGGGUUUGGGGGAACCAAGGAAGAGAUUGAGGGAGGGGGAAUUUUCUCAAUUACAUUCUCAAAAUCUUUAAAUUUCGGAGAGUACCGUAGAAUAUGUCUAUUUUAUAUUCAUAUCCCUUUUGAAUUACUUAGUUAUUUGGUGAAGGUUGUCUUUGCUACAAUUCAGUUUCAACUUAUUUGAUGAUGCUAGCAUCUUUAUGAGUAUGUUUGGAUAACUUUUUUCAUAUACACUUGAAGAAGAAGAAAAUAAGAAGGAAAAAUAAAAACAAGUUUUGUGUUAAAAUUUGUUUAACAUGCCUUAAUUUUCUAUCAGAGUUUAUGAAAAACAUUGUCUGAUCAUAUUCUGUGAAUAAAACUUAAACCUUGUAGUGCAAGGAACUAAGAUUAUAUCUUACCUGGUAAAAAAGAGGAGAGGGUUUGGGGAAGAGAGAGUUUGGUUGUAUUUUGUACCUGGCAUCUACUGACCAAAAUAAUGCCAAAAAGAAAACAUGAUACGUAUGACAAUUUCAUAGCUCAUAGUUGAGCAGCAUGUUUACUUUAAUUCCUGUUGAUUUUGUCAGAUUGCAAAGCGCUUAGAGAAAUUUCAGACAACAAUCUUCACUCAAAUGAGCUUGCUUGCCAUCAAACAUGGAGCCAUAAACCUUGGUCAAGGCUUUCCCAACUUUGAUGGUCCAGACUUUGUGAAGGAAGCAGCUAUUCAAGCAAUCAGGGAUGGGAAAAAUCAGUAUGCCCGGGGUUAUGGAGUUCCAGACCUUAACAUUGCCAUUGCUGAGAGAUUUAAGAAAGAUACUGGAUUAGUGGUAGACCCCGAAAAGGAAGUUACUGUUACAUCUGGAUGCACUGAAGCAAUUGCUGCAACUGUACUAGGAAUAAUAAAUCCCGGUGAUGAGGUUAUUCUGUUUGCUCCUUUUUAUGAUUCUUAUGAGGCUACUUUGUCUAUGGCCGGUGCAAAAGUCAAAAGCAUUACUUUGCGUCCUCCAGAUUUUGCUGUCCCUAUUGAAGAGCUGAAGUCCACCAUCUCAAAGAAUACCCGUGCCAUUCUUUUAAAUACACCUCACAACCCUACUGGAAAGAUGUUCACUCGCGAGGAGCUUGAUUGCAUUGCAUCUCUUUGCAUUGAGAAUGAUGUUCUGGUUUUCACGGAUGAGGUUUAUGAUAAGUUGGCUUUUGAUAUGGAGCACAUUUCGAUGGCUUCUUUGCCUG
rnacentral:lncRNA from 1 species